rnacentral:lncRNA from 1 species
CUCAGCAAGUAAGUAUAGCCGGGGCAGCAGGAGUUCAGGCCUUGGGAGAAAAAUCUUAAGAUAUGUAUUUGGGGGUAGAAAUGACCCCCCAAAGGGAAAGAAAGGUGGCCUCAGGAUACUCAGCAGAGCAGGGGCUGAUUGCAUACUGGGUGUGGUGCUGAACCCCGGGAGUCCUGAACUAAACAGAAUAUACACUGCCCUUCAAAGCCUGGAGGUCCAGGGGAGGAGAGUUAUGAGAGUGGUGACUACCCCAACUUCCUAGGAAGUUUCCUCUUGAUACUGCUGCAGUUUCAUGGUACAGGGGCUUCAAGUGUCAUCAGACAUCAGGGCCACUGCACGCCAUGACGCACGGUAACGUUUGGAUGAAAACAUUUGGUACAGAUAUUCAGAUGAAAGAUCCAAAAAGUCACUGCCAAUUAAUUCUUUAACUGGCAGAGAAAAUGGACACUAUGGAGACCCUUAGACCGUAUCAGGAAUGUCGGACUCAUCUGGCCACAGAGGUUUGAGGUGGUAGACAUUGUGAAGCCACAGAAUACAACUGGAGGCAAAGCACAGCUCAUGGUUUCUGGUGUUGGACCAGAAGGAAGGCUGGGAAAGACUGGAAACCAGGGACCUGUGCCAGUGCCAGCCAAGGACCUGUGCCAGUGCCAGCCAAGGACCUGUGCCAGUGCCAGCCAAGGACCUGUGCCAGUGCCAGCCAAGGACCUGUGCCAGUGCCAGCCAAGGACCUGUGCCAGUGCCAGCCAAGGACCUGUGCCAGUGCCAGCCAAGGACCUGUGCCAGUGCCAGCCAAGGACCUGUGCCAGUGCCAGCCAAGGACCUGUGCCAGUGCCAGCCAAGGACCUGUGCCAGUGCCAGCCAAGGACCUGUGCCAGUGCCAGCCAAGGACCUGUGCCAGUGCCAGCCAAGGACCUGUGCCAGUGCCAGCCAAGGACCUGUGCCAGUGCCAGCCAAGGACCUGUGCCAGUGCCAGCCAAGGACCUGUGCCAGUGCCAGCCAAGGACCUGUGCCAGUGCCAGCCAAGGACCUGUGCCAGUGCCAGCCAAGGACCUGUGCCAGUGCCAGCCAAGGACCUGUGCCAGUGCCAGCCAAGGACCUGUGCCAGUGCCAGCCAAGGACCUGUGCCAGUGCCAGCGGUGUUUGGCGCCAUCUGUGACUUGAGUUCCCUUGCUUAACUUUCUACAGCAAAGUAUUCGGGAAAUUCAAGGAAAAAAAGUGUAUGCAUAUAUACACAUAUAAAAUAUUGUAUUUUAAUAUCUAAUAUAAAUGAUACUUAUAACUUA